rnacentral:lncRNA from 7 species
CACCACUCCACUAGCUGCCACCAGACGUCACUACUCUUCAGUAUUCGACGGAGUAAUCUUGCCCUAGCCGCCACCACUCCACCAGGUGCCCCUCGCGUCCUCCAUCCUCGCCCCGCACGGUACUACAGGAGUAUGUGAGGUGGCUAUCAAGUGAUCACGAUCUCAUAUUCUCCUUCUCCAAGUUUGUCAGCUUUAAGGAAUAGCAGGCAUUUGGUGUCUGCUUUGGCUGGACGAUGGCCUACAGGUAGUUGUUCUCUUGUACUGCAAUGGAAUUUAGUGUAGAAACUCAGGAGCCAACAUACUGAAUCUUAUGGAUCAGUACUGGUAAUGCUAAUGAACUUAGUACUGCAA